GAUGAACGCUGGCGGCGUGCUUAACACAUGCAAGUCGAACGAGAAGUGAAGACGGAAACCUUCGGGCGGAAGGCUUUAUUUCGAGUGGCGGACGGGUGAGUAACGCGUGGGUAACCUGCCUCAUACAGGGGGAUAACAGUUGGAAACGACUGUUAAUACCGCAUAAGACCACAGCACCGCAUGGUGCGGGGGUAAAAACUCCGGUGGUAUGAGAUGGACCCGCGUUCGAUUAGCCAGUUGGCGGGGUAACGGCCCACCAAAGCGACGAUCGAUAGCCGAUCUGAGAGGAUGACCGGCCACAUUGGGACUGAGACACGGCCCAAACUCCUACGGGAGGCAGCAGUGGGGAAUAUUGCACAAUGGGGGAAACCCUGAUGCAGCGACGCCGCGUGAGUGAAGAAGUAUUUCGGUAUGUAAAGCUCUAUCAGCAGGGAAGAAAAUGACGGUACCUGAGAAGAAGCCCCGGCUAACUACGUG
rnacentral:rRNA from 1 species